UACGGGGGGGGCAAGCGUUGUUCGGAAUUACUGGGCGUAAAGGGCUCGUAGGUGGCCAACUAAGUCAGACGUGAAAUCCCUCAGCUUAACUGGGGAACUGCGUCUGAUACUGGAUGGCUUGAGUUUGGGAGAGGGAUGCGGAAUUCCUGGUGUAGCGGUGGAAUGCGCAGAUAUCAGGAGGAACACCGAUGGCGAAGGCAGUUCUCUGGGCCGUAACUGACGCUGAGGAGCGAAAGCGUGGGGAGCGAACAGG
rnacentral:rRNA from 1 species